CAGUGCGCAGCUACCAUGCAGUCGAACGAUGAUGCCCAGCUUGCUGGGUGGAUUAGUGGCGAACGGGUGAGUAACACGUGAGUAACCUGCCCCUGACUCUGGGAUAAGCGUUGGAAACGACGUCUAAUACUGGAUAUGAUCGCUGGCCGCAUGGUCUGGUGGUGGAAAGAUUUUUUGGUUGGGGAUGGACUCGCGGCCUAUCAGCUUGUUGGUGAGGUAAUGGCUCACCAAGGCGACGACGGGUAGCCGGCCUGAGAGGGUGACCGGCCACACUGGGACUGAGACACGGCCCAGACUCCUACGGGAGGCAGCAGUGGGGAAUAUUGCACAAUGGGCGAAAGCCUGAUGCAGCAACGCCGCGUGAGGGAUGACGGCCUUCGGGUUGUAAACCUCUUUUAGUAGGGAAGAAGCGAAAGUGACGGUACCUGCAGAAAAAGCACCGGCUAACUACGUGCCAGCAGCCGCGGUAAUACGUAGGGUGCAAGCGUUGUCCGGAAUUAUUGGGCGUAAAGAGCUCGUAGGCGGUUUGUCGCGUCUGCUGUGAAAUCCCGAGGCUCAACCUCGGGCUUGCAGUGGGUACGGGCAGACUAGAGUGCGGUAGGGGAGAUUGGAAUUCCUGGUGUAGCGGUGGAAUGCGCAGAUAUCAGGAGGAACACCGAUGGCGAAGGCAGAUCUCUGGGCCGUAACUGACGCUGAGGAGCGAAAGCAUGGGGAGCGAACAGGAUUAGAUACCCUGGUAGUCCAUGCCGUAAACGUUGGGCGCUAGAUGUAGGGACCUUUCCACGGUUUCUGUGUCGUAGCUAACGCAUUAAGCGCCCCGCCUGGGGAGUACGGCCGCAAGGCUAAAACUCAAAGGAAUUGACGGGGGCCCGCACAAGCGGCGGAGCAUGCGGAUUAAUUCGAUGCAACGCGAAGAACCUUACCAAGGCUUGACAUACACCGGAAACGGCCAGAGAUGGUCGCCCCCUUGUGGUCGGUGUACAGGUGGUGCAUGGUUGUCGUCAGCUCGUGUCGUGAGAUGUUGGGUUAAGUCCCGCAACGAGCGCAACCCUCGUUCUAUGUUGCCAGCGGGUUAUGCCGGGGACUCAUAGGAGACUGCCGGGGUCAACUCGGAGGAAGGUGGGGAUGACGUCAAAUCAUCAUGCCCCUUAUGUCUUGGGCUUCACGCAUGCUACAAUGGCCGGUACAAAGGGCUGCGAUACCGUAAGGUGGAGCGAAUCCCAAAAAGCCGGUCUCAGUUCGGAUUGAGGUCUGCAACUCGACCUCAUGAAGUCGGAGUCGCUAGUAAUCGCAGAUCAGCAACGCUGCGGUGAAUACGUUCCCGGGCCUUGUACACACCGCCCGUCAAGUCAUGAAAGUCGGUAACACCCGAAGCCGGUGGCCUAACCCUUGUGGAAGCAGCCGUCGAAGGGAUUCU
rnacentral:rRNA from 1 species